AGGUAAAGUCCCUCUUCUGUCAACGUAGGAGUUAGGUUAACCGUUGUGUGUAGCGUUAAGGGUUCAAGAGUAUCACAUGUUCUUGGGUUCUUAAGAUUAUACCAACCAAGGUCUAACUAUCUAUCCCUUUUGUUUAUUGUAAUCUUGUAACCGUUUGUGUAUCUAGUAAUCUUCAACUCGUGAGUUGUUGUCUCUUGUUGUUAUUGUUCUUAUCAUAUUGUUCUCAUCUUAUUGUCGUUUUUGCUUUUUUGGUGUUGAAAACACACCUUUCUAUCUCAUCAUUGUGUGUUGUAGUGAAUCCGAGAGUUGGUCUCUAAUAGGUCCUCGAAUCUUGUGAUUUGUGGACUGUUUGGAUUGUAAUUUCGUGUAUCCCUUGGUUUUCUUGUAUCA
rnacentral:lncRNA from 1 species